rnacentral:lncRNA from 1 species
AAAAUUCUUGAAGAUUUACAUGUCAAGCAAGUAAGAUCUACUACAAUUUUUUUGUGACAGCAGCUCGGCCAUUAAUUAAACUUUCUAAAAAUCCUGUGUUACACGGAAGAAGCAAAUAUAUUGAUGUAAAGUAUUAUUUUUUAAGUGAUCUGGACAAUGAUGGAACAAUUGAUCUAAAGAUCAGUUGGCCUAUAUUAUAUUCACUAAACCUCUAAAUUUCUUCCCUUACAAAAUCUAAGAAGGUUUUUGGGCAUUUGCACCUUGAGAAGUUAUGCUUGAAGAAGGAGGUGCACAAAUAAACUGACGUUUAAAAGCUUUCAAUUUAGGGGAGGGAUUGUCAUAAAUUUUAUUAUUUAUGGUUUGUAAGUUAAAGACUUGGUCUUUGUUAAUUCUUACAUGAGAAUAAAUGUUUACUUGGUCUAUAGGGUGUUAACUAAAUUUUCCUAGUCUAUAGGAUACCCCCAUUUUCUCGUGAUAAUGGCUGAUUUUUAUGUAAUUUGGUUAAUUCUCAUGGCCAUAAAUAGCCUAUUCCCCAAUUAAACUUAUGCUUCAGAUUUCCAUUCUUGUCGAGUAGGGUUUUUUCUUCUUUUUCUAUCAAUUAUAGAAAGAUAAAAGCAGUAGCUUUUCAUAUCCAUUUGGGAGUCCACAUUACUAUUUAUAUUUCUAUCAAUGCCUUGCCUGACGCUAAAGCUUUCUUACAUUAUUAGCGCUCAACAUUUAAGGUGGGGACUUAAACUUAUACACCUAGCAGCUCAAAGGGUGACUUGUCCAGCGGAAGCAAUUAGCCAAUUACUUGAUUAUAAAAUGCCAACUCCAACAUGGAAAUUUGCCAACUUGACUAACCAGCUCAGGUAAUAAAUCAAUCACUUGAUUCAAACUCUGGCCUUGACAAAAGCAAGAUAUCAACUCCUCAAUUCAAGCUCAACUUUGAUAAGAGCAAAUAAACAAUUCAUUGCCACUUCUUGACAUCGGUAUAGACAAGCUCUCGUACAACACCAAAAGUGCCUCCAUGUGUACACAAGGUGACUCUGUAUCAUCCUAUUUGAAGCACAUCUUCCUAUUGUCUGGAAGGUUGCCCAAUAAGGUACGAUCAUACCACUGGCGGCUAUCACUGCCUCUGUCAACGUAAUACUUGUACCUAUGGCCUAAAUUUAUCAUUAUAAAAAAAAUAUAAACAAUUAAUACUUUAGCCCGAUCAAUUGCAAGAAAGUUCAUUAUGUGAAAUAAUAGUCCAUACCUUUUUAUUUUAUUUUUUUCUUUUCGGGCUGAAGCCCAAGUAGUGUUUAUUUAAAUAAUGG